rnacentral:rRNA from 1 species
GACGAACGCUGGCGGCGUGCUUAACGCAUGCAAGUCGAACGGAAAGGCCCUGCUUUUGUGGGGUGCUCGAGUGGCGAACGGGUGAGUAACACGUGAGUAACCUGCCCUUGACUUUGGGAUAACUUCAGGAAACUGGGGCUAAUACCGGAUAGGAGCUCCUGCUGCAUGGUGGGGGUUGGAAAGUUUCGGCGGUUGGGGAUGGACUCGCGGCUUAUCAGCUUGUUGGUGGGGUAGUGGCUUACCAAGGCUUUGACGGGUAGCCGGCCUGAGAGGGUGACCGGUCACAUUGGGACUGAGAUACGGCCCAGACUCCUACGGGAGGCAGCAGUGGGGAAUAUUGCACAAUGGGCGGAAGCCUGAUGCAGCAACGCCGCGUGCGGGAUGACGGCCUUCGGGUUGUAAACCGCUUUCGCCUGUGACGAAGCGUGAGUGACGGUAAUGGGUAAAGAAGCACCGGCUAACUACGUG